GAUGAACGCUGGCGGCGUGCCUAAUACAUGCAAGUCGAGCGAACAGACGAGGAGCUUGCUCCUCUGACGUUAGCGGCGGACGGGUGAGUAACACGUGGAUAACCUACCUAUAAGACUGGGAUAACUUCGGGAAACCGGAGCUAAUACCGGAUAAUAUAUUGAACCGCAUGGUUCAAUAGUGAAAGACGGUUUUGCUGUCACUUAUAGAUGGAUCCGCGCCGCAUUAGCUAGUUGGUAAGGUAACGGCUUACCACGGGGACGAUGCGUAGCCGACCUGAGAGGGGGAUCGGCCACACUGGAACUGAGACACGGUCCAGACUCCUACGGGAGGCAGCAGUAGGCAAUCUUCCGCAAUGGGCGAAAGCAUUACGGAGCAACGCCGCGUGAGUGAUGAAGGUCUUCGGAUCGUAAAACUCUGUUAUUAGGGAAGAACAAAUGUGUAAGUAACUAUGCACGUCUUGACGGUACCUAAUCAGAAAGCCACGGCUAACUACGUG
rnacentral:rRNA from 1 species